rnacentral:rRNA from 1 species
UACAGAGGGUGCAAGCGUUGUUCGGAAUUAUUGGGCGUAAAGGGCUCGUAGGCGGUUUGUCGCGUCGGGAGUGAAAUCCACUGGCUUAACUGGUGGCUUGCUUUCGAUACGGGCAGACUGGAGGUAUGCAGGGGAGAACGGAAUUCCUGGUGUAGCGGUGAAAUGCGCAGAUAUCAGGAGGAACACCGGUGGCGAAGGCGGUUCUCUGGGCAUGUCCUGACGCUGAGGAGCGAAAGUGUGGGGGAGCGAACAGG